UACGUAGGGAGCAAGCGUUGUCCGGAAUCAUUGGGCGUAAAGCGCGCGUAGGUGGCUUCGUAAGUCCGUUGUGAAAGUCAAAGGCUCAACCUUUGAAAGCCGAUGGAUACUGCGGAGCUAGAGUACGGAAGAGGCGAGUGGAAUUCCUGGUGUAGCGGUGGAAUGCGCAGAUAUCAGGAGGAACACCAAUAGCGAAGGCAGCUCGCUGUGACGUUACUGACACUGAGGCGCGAAAGCGUGGGGAGCGAACAGG
rnacentral:rRNA from 1 species